CAAAAGAGCAUCAAAACCCAAUCCAGGUUUAGGUUAAUGGAGUUCAGAAGUCAUCUUUUCGUGGAUUACACCAAUUAUUUUGCAACUAUCGUAGUGGCCCAACAAAACAUACGCCUGAAGGUUGAGAAAUACUGUCAUGCUCUGUAUUUGUUUGGCCAGCUGACAGACAUGUCCCUUGUCCCCUGACUUUUAAGAUGCUGUCUACGCCCCAAAGCAGCUGUUAGGCUGAAGCCCGAAUGGGUCUGUCCUGUCUGAUGCUCCUUGGGGAUUUGAUUUCUGACCCCUACAACACUGUUUUAUACCUGUGCCCUCUAGUCCCUACCCCAUGACCCCCCUUUCACCCUCACCUCCCCCAUUAGAAGUGCUUAUUAUGGACAAAUCAAGAAUGAGAUGGGAGACCAAAGCGAGGGAAUACUUUGACAGUACAGCCUGUCCAUUUAAAUGGUUACAUCAC